rnacentral:rRNA from 1 species
CGGAGGAAAAGAAACUAACAAGGAUUCCCCCAGUAACGGCGAGUGAAGCGGGAAGAGCUCAGGUUGAAAAUCCGGCCUUCGGGUCAGAAUUGUAGUCUGAAGAGGCGGUGCCUCCCGCCGGCCGCGGCGAAGUCUGAUUGGAAAUGAGCAUCAUGGAGGGUGAUAGUCCCGUUUGUGCCGCGGUCGUCGUGCGGAUUGAUGGCCCGUUUUCGACGAGUCGAGUUGCUUGGGAUUGCAGCUCUAAGUGGGUGGUAAACUCCAUCUAAAGCUAAACACGCGGGGGAGACCGAUAGCGAACAAGUACCGUGAGGGAAAGAUGCAAAGAACUUUGAAAAGAGAGUUAAAGAGUGCCUGAAAUUGCUGGGAGGGAAGCGAGGGAAAGCAGUGUCUGGCGGUCAAAUCGCUCCCCCGUAGCCCUCCGGGGCUCGGGCUGCGCUCCGCUGUUGCCAGGGCCGGGUGGGGCCCGCGGGAUACGCGCCGCCGGGUAAGGUGGCCCAUGCGCCCUCGGGCGCGUGGGUGAAUACCGGCG